rnacentral:lncRNA from 1 species
AGCUCAACGCCCAAGGUCUCUCCGCUGUGCUUGGACUGCUGCCCACAGGUAAGCCACCCUAUUUCUCCAGCUCUGGCUGAGCCUCAAGCCUGCCUACCGGGGUCAGGGUUAGCAGCUGCCCACCGAGAACGUCCACACAGGCACUCCACCUCGGAGCACUGAAAAAAGGAGGCUGCACACGUAAAUAAGAGGCCACGGUAGCGGUCCUGGCAGGGCCCUUCCUCUGACCAACUUUGUGGUUCUUUGCCUACAAAUUGGAAUUCACUUGAAACUGUCAGAUCAGAACUUAAUUGGUUUUAUUGAGAGGACUGUUUUAAUUAUAAAAAUGUAUUUCUCACCUCAGGAUUGCUUGAGAGGAUUGCAUAAGAGAGCAGACUAUGUGACCUUUUUAGCAAGAGCAUCAUUGUACAUAGGACACAAGGCUAAGAGGACUGCCAUUCUUAGGUGGGCAGCCUUGGGCAAGCUACACCUGCAUCCUGGCCUCAUCUUUAAGGGGAACUAUGGUUUAAUGAGGAGUAGAUGUGAGGGCUUUGUUUUGUUUUUUAAUACUCUGAACUACUAUUAACUCGUUUAACAUGAUCUUUCACCAAGGAAUAGCGUCCCCAUGUUCCUGAUGCCCACACUGCCCACACAGAAAGGUGAUAUUACUUCCUAAAAAGUCACAGCUAAUUGGAGAUUAAUUCCAAGGCAGUGUAGCUGCGCUAAAGUAACUCACUUUUGCCCUCUGCAUUGUUUCAUAGCCUGAUUUGUUAAUUUGCUGUUAUUGCCUUGUGCAUCGUGUUCUUUGUUUGCUCAUUACAGGAAAUAACAGUAUUCAGUCUCGGCUCUCCCCUGCAUACACAGUCACUAUGGGCUGCUCAUAGUUCUUGCUAACGCCAUUUCUGAAGUGAAAAAGGUGUGGGCCUUCCUUAUUUUUUUUUUGUAAAGUCUGUAACUCUCAAGUUCUCAGAUGGUCUGUGAUCCCAACAGAAAUAUGAAAUGUUUGGCCAGGAGAGCUAGUGCCUACCAUCCUGACAGCAGCCUGAGCUUAAAACAAACAAAC